UGGGGAAUAUUGGACAAUGGGCGAAAGCCUGAUCCAGCCAUGCCGCGUGUGUGAAGAAGGCCUUUUGGUUGUAAAGCACUUUAAGUGGGGAGGAAAAGCUUAUGGAUAACACCCAUAGGUUCUGACGUUACCCACAGAAUAAGCACCGGCUAACUCUGUGCCAGCAGCCGCGGUAAUACAGAGGGUGCAAGCGUUAAUCGGAAUUACUGGGCGUAAAGCGAGCGUAGGUGGUUUAUUAAGUCAGAUGUGAAAUCCCUGGGCUUAACCUAGGAACUGCAUCUGAUACUGAUAAACUAGAGUAGGUGAGAGGAAAGUAGAAUUCCAGGUGUAGCGGUGAAAUGCGUAGAGAUCUGGAGGAAUACCGAUGGCGAAGGCAGCUUUCUGGCAUCAUACUGACACUGAGGUUCGAAAGCGUGGGUAGCAAACAGGAUUAGAUACCCUGGUAGUCCACGCCGUAAACGAUGUCUACCAGUCGUUGGGUCUUUUAAAGGCUUAGUGACGCAGUUAACGUGAUAAGUAGACCGCCUGGGGAGUACGGCCGCAAGGUUA
rnacentral:rRNA from 1 species